rnacentral:rRNA from 1 species
GACAAGGUUCCAGGCCCUACGGGGUGCAGCAGGCGCGAAACCUCCGCAAUGUGAGAAAUCGCGACGGGGGGAUCCCAGGUGCCAUUCUUAACGGGAUGGCUUUUCAUUAGUGUAAAGAGCUUUUGGAAUAAGAGCUGGGCAAGACCGGUGCCAGCCGCCGCGGUAACACCGGCAGCUCUAGUGGUAACAAUUUUUAUUGGGCCUAAAGCGUCCGUAGCCGGUUUAAUAAGUCUCUGGUGAAAUCCUGUAGCUUAACUGUGGGAAUUGCUGGAGAUACUAUUAGACUUGAGAUCGGGAGAGGUUAGAGGUACUCCCAGGGUAGAGGUGAAAUUCUGUAAUCCUGGGAGGACCGCCUGUUGCGAAGGCGUCUAGCUGGAACGAUUCUGACGGUGAGGGACGAAAGUUAGGGGCGCGAACCGGAUUAGAUACCCGGGUAGUCCUAACUGUAAACGAUGCGGACUUGGUGUUGGGGUGGCUUUGAGCUGCUCCAGUGCCGAAGGGAAGCUGUUAAGUCCGCCGCCUGGGAAGUACGGUCGCAAGACUGAAACUUAA